GGUAUCGUGUCCGAGUGGUUAAGGAGACAGACUUGAAUAGAUCGCCUAGGCGAUUCUUCGGUAUCUGUUGGGUUCGCCCGCGCAGGUUCGAACCCUGUCGAUACCG